AGGAACCAUGGCUCACUGGAGCACCAUCUUUGGAGUCUAGCUAACACAGCAUCUUGGAUGCACUCCUAAGAGAAGACUACCUGAAAGGCGUGUACACUGGUCUAGCAGUUGAGAUCAGCUAGUGUUCCAUCUAUCUUCUGUCAUGUAUCUCUUCUAAGAUGUCUUGAUCGACUGACCCCAAAGCCAGAGGGUACCAGGUCAAAAAGCAAGAAAACAAACAAUACUGACAUUAGAGAGAAGCAAAGUUUCUAUAGAAAACCUAUUACACUGUGGUAUAAAUCAAGAUGAACCUGCAGACAUCUAUUUUAGUUUGGAAGUCUGGAAAAGUUCAAGAUUGGCCAUCUGCAGCUGGUGAGAGCCUCAGGCUGCUUCCCCUCAUGGUGGAAGGUGAAGGGGAGCUGGUGUGUGCAGAGAUUACAUGCUUUUCUAGGUCAUCAUUCUAGGCUUUGUUGAAGCAUGCAUUUUUGGCAUGAGGGUGGCAGCCUUUGCACUAUGUGCAUGGCUGAGGAGUUAGGAUCUGGAGGGUGAUGAAAGCAAAGGUGCUGCUGGUUACUCUUGGUUCAUCUAGCAAUAGAUGAUCUGAAUGUUAGAGUUCGCCAAAUAUUGUUCCUGGGCAGUCUUUGCUCUACCAAAUCAACUUUCUCCAUGGGGGAGCUAGAAGUCACCCCACAUUCUCCGCCAUGGCCAGCUCUACAUUCUAAGAGAACCAAUGGCUCUACCCAACAUAUUCUUCUCACCACAGAUGACAAAGACACAAGGAGCCAAGACAGAUCAUUCAAGCAUAUUCAUUGCCUCUAUCUUCAUCCCAUUAAAUAACAUCCCGCCAACCAAAGCAAGUUAUCUGCAUAAGAAUAAAUAUUCCACCUACUCUACUGCAAGGCCCUGCAAGAGUCAUGAGACAAAAGGAUCCUCUGUGGACAGCACCCAAGAUGGAAACAACUGACAGUCUAUGGCCAGGGCUAUACUCUGGUGAAACUGAAAGGUGUCUGCAUGGAAGUGUCUGACUACCACCAUCCACUCAGGCAAAUGCAUUUGUUUCCCUCUAUUCAUUAUUAGAAGAGAGGAGAUUACAUACCAGACAUAUACCAAUAGAGAUGGGGUUUCAUCAUGUUGACCAGGCUGGUCUUGCCCUCCCGACCACAGGUGAUCUGCCCGCCUGAGCCUCCCAAAGUGCUGGGAUUACAGGCAUGAGCCACCACGCCUGUCCAAAACUUCUUGACUUAAUAAAGAAAGAAAGAAAGAAAAAAAAAAAAAAUCCUGUGCAGAGGUUGCUAAGAACCUUGGUAAGAAUCUUCUAUCUAUAAAAUUGUGAAGAAGAAUAAAAAAAUUUUUG
rnacentral:lncRNA from 1 species